rnacentral:rRNA from 1 species
UACGGAGGGGGCUAGCGUUGUCCGAAGUUACUGGGCGUAAAGCGCGCGUAGGCGGGUUGGUAAGUCCGCUGUGAAAGCCCGGAGCUUAACUCCGGAGGGUCGGUGGAUACUGCCAGUCUUGAAGGUGCUAGGGGGAGAUGGAAUUACCGGUGUAGCGGUGAAAUGCGUAGAUAUCGGUAGGAACACCGGUGGUGUAAACGGCUUUCUGGACCAUAACUGACGCUGAGGCACGAAAGCGUGGGUAGCAAACAGG